rnacentral:rRNA from 1 species
UGGGGAAUUUUGGACAAUGGGGGAAACCCUGAUCCAGCCAUCCCGCGUGUGCGAUGAAGGCCUUCGGGUUGUAAAUCACUUUUGGCAGGAAAGAAACGUCAUGGGUUAAUACCCCGUGAAACUGACGGUACCUGCAGAAUAAGCACCGGCUAACUACGUGCCAGCAGCCGCGGUAAUACGUAGGGUGCAAGCGUUAAUCGGAAUUACUGGGCGUAAAGCGUGCGCAGGCGGUUCGGAAAGAAAGAUGUGAAAUCCCAGAGCUCAACUUUGGAACUGCAUUUUUAACUACCGGGCUAGAGUGUGUCAGAGGGAGGUGGAAUUCCGCGUGGAGCAGUGAAAUGCGUAGUUAUGCGGAGGAACACCGAUGGCGAAGGCAGCCUCCUGGGAUAACACUGACGCUCAUGCACGAAAGCGUGGGGAGCAAACAGG